GACGAACGCUGGCGGCGUGCCUAAUACAUGCAAGUCGAGCGGACAGAAGGGAGCUUACUCCCGGAAGUUAGCGGCGGACGGGUGAGUAACACGUGGGCAACCUACCCUGUAGAUCGGGAUAACAUCGAGAAAUCGGUGCUAAUACCGGAUAAUCAUUUGAAGUGCAUGCUUCGAAUGUAAAAGAUGGCUCCGGCUAUCACUACGGGAUGGGCCCGCGGCGCAUUAGCUAGUUGGUAAGGUAAUGGCUUACCAAGGCAACGAUGCGUAGCCGACCUGAGAGGGUGAUCGGCCACACUGGGACUGAGACACGGCCCAGACUCCUACGGGAGGCAGCAGUAGGGAAUCUUCCGCAAUGGACGAAAGUCUGACGGAGCAACGCCGCGUGAGUGAUGAAGGUUUUCGGAUCGUAAAGCUUUGUUGUUAGGGAAGAACAAGUGCCGUUUGAAUAAGGCGGCACCUUGACGGUACCUACCAGAAAGCCACGGCUAACUACGUGCCAGCAGCCGCGGUAAAAC
rnacentral:rRNA from 1 species